rnacentral:rRNA from 1 species
GUCUUUUUGAGUUUAAUUUAAAGUCUAAUCUGCCCACUGAUGAAAAUUUAAGGGCCGCAGUAUUUUGACUGUGCAAAGGUAGCAUAAUCAUUAGUCUUUUAAUUGAAGGCUUGUAUGAAUGAUUGAACGAGAUAUAAGCUGUCUCAUAUUAAAUUUUUAUAGAAUUUUAUUUUUUAGUUAAAAAGCUAAAAUAUAUUUAAAAGACGAGAAGACCCUAUAGAUCUUUAUAAUUUUUUUAUAAAUUUUUUUAGGUUAUUUUUUAAAUUUAUAAAUUAAAUUAUUUUGUUGGGGUGACAAUGAAAUUUAAUAAACUUUCAUAAUUUUAUUACAUUAAUUUAUGAUUUUUUGAUCCAUUUUUAGUGAUUAAAAAUUUAAGUUACCUUAGGGAUAACAGCGUAAUUAUUUUGGAGAGUUCUUAUCGAUAAAAUAGUUUGCGACCUCGAUGUUGGAUUAAGAUUAAUUUUAGGUGUAGCCGCUUAAAGUAUUAAGUCUGUUCGACUUUUAAUUUCUU